UACGUAGGUGGCAAGCGUUGUCCGGAAUUAUUGGGCGUAAAGCGCGCGCAGGCGGUCCUUUAAGUCUGAUGUGAAAGCCCACGGCUCAACCGUGGAGGGUCAUUGGAAACUGGGGGACUUGAGUGCAGGAGAGAAGAGUGGAAUUCCACGUGUAGCGGUGAAAUGCGUAGAGAUGUGGAGGAACACCAGUGGCGAAGGCGGCGCUCUGGGCUGGAACUGACGCUGAGGAGCGAAAGCGUGGGGAGCGAACAGG
rnacentral:rRNA from 1 species